rnacentral:rRNA from 1 species
CAAGUCGAACGGAACUGUUUUGAAAGAUUUCUUCGGAAUGAAUUUGAUUUAGUUUAGUGGCGGACGGGUGAGUAACGCGUGAGUAACCUGCCUUCAAGAGGGGGAUAACAUUCUGAAAAGAAUGCUAAUACCGCAUGACAUAUCGGAACCACAUGGUUUUGAUAUCAAAGAUUUUAUCGCUUGAAGAUGGACUCGCGUCCGAUUAGUUAGUUGGUGAGGUAACGGCUCACCAAGACCGCGAUCGGUAGCCGGACUGAGAGGUUGAACGGCCACAUUGGGACUGAGACACGGCCCAGACUCCUACGGGAGGCAGCAGUGGGGGAUAUUGCGCAAUGGGGGCAACCCUGACGCAGCAACGCCGCGUGAAGGAUGAAGGUUUUCGGAUUGUAAACUUCUUUUAUUAAGGACGAAAAUUGACGGUACUUAAUGAAUAAGCUCCGGCUAACUAC